UCGCUUCAGAUUGAAUUCUCUAACUGGUUUUGAAACUGAUUCUUUGCAGAUACAAGAAACACAUGGAGAAUCAUAUUCUUGCAACCACAGAUCAAUUCAGGUAUUCUGGCAGGCAAAAAGAAGAAAUUCAAAGCUGGAGUAGAAGAAAGAGCUAAAAAUUAACGGACCACUUACUUUGAAGUUUGAAGCUCAAGUGACAUUGAGGAGAAACUGUGCAAUUAUCCAGCUGUACUGACACCAUUAGGGAGCUUGUUCUGGAUCACAGGACUGGUCAAGCCCUUCAGUCCACUUGAAAACACUUUCCUAUUUCUGCCUGUAAUGCAGCCUUUCAGCCCCCUUCAAAAGUUGCAGCAUGGCUGGGUAGUACUCACACAUCAGGUAAACUCAUAAUCUGAUUUUUCAUGUAAAAACUGAUUGCUGUCUUUAUGCUUUAAUUCACCUUUCUAUUUCUCCCAUGCUUUCCAAAAUCAUCUGAACCUGAGUAAUUUAUUUUUGCCAUUGUGAUUUCCUUCUAUUACAUGGCCUCAAUUAUGUUAUCAGCAAGAGUUGCACCAGAGCAGAUGAGGGCAGGUUGCCCUAAUAGUGUGUAUGUCUGAAUGGGCAUACACAUACACAGGUAUGUAGUUUUCAAGGAUCACAUGGAAGCAUUUUGCUUUAAAAGAUGUAUUUUUAAUACCC
rnacentral:lncRNA from 1 species